GGGGCUGACAUGGAUUUGACAGCGGGAUGAAGCGUUGUGUAAGCACGCAGAGAGUCGUAGGUCGCUCUCUAUAAUCAAUGGCUUUCAAAGAUUUAUCUGGCGAAAACAAGUACGCUCUCGCUGCCUGAUCGAAGCAUAGUAGAUCACUGGCUUUAUCCCGGCACUAGGUGCUGAGACGAGAUGUCACUCUGAGGCUCACCGCCCCGAAGCUCUCAGGUUCAGUGGCACAGCAAAUCGGGGAUAGUCACCGGGACGCCUCUAUCCGAUGAUGAAGUUCACAGAGGCUAAGGUUGUGAUAGGUGGUCCAGGUCUUGUCACUUCCCUACAACCCAAGGCUGGAAUAAGCGUGUAGAAAGCACAGGGUUUCCCUGUUUGGACGAGGGUUCAAUCCCCUCCAGCUCCACCA
rnacentral:tmRNA from 1 species